UUUGCAUCUAUUUAUAUAUUGUAAUUUGGUUUCACAAAAUUGGUUUGUAAGGUGAGAUUUGCAUCUAUGUAUAUAUUGUAAUUUGGUUAUGUUUUUAGUUAAUGUGGGAUCACCAACAUUUUUGAGCCUUAUAAGUAACUACUUGCACUAAAUUGUCCUCUCCAUCAAAUUUCACAACAUCCAACAUCUUAAACAUUUUAUAUGUAGGUUUUGAGCUUUCUGAGGUAUCUAAUGAAUAAAGAAACAUUGUCCUCUCUAUUGUUGUUUACCAAAAUGUUACAAAUUCAAUGUCUUUUUUUAUUUGUCUACCCAUAAAUUAUUAUUGUGCAAUCUGUUAUCUUUCACUCAUGGGUAUUCUUGAAGGAUUAGAUAAACUUUUUGCACUGUUUUUGUUUUAAAAGAUUCUUUCUAUCAUCAUGAUAAGAUGGAGUUUUGUAGUUAACACCAUAUCUCUUAAUCAUCUCACAUUUUUGAAGAUGCUGUAUCUCUAAUAUCAUUGUUUGAAAUGACAAUUGUGUAGAAAAAUUCAACACUUGAGCAUCAACUUUUUCUUUAUUCCCUUUCUUGAAUCUGAAAAAUUCCUUUAUUCAAUGUCUUUGAGCAGCAAUUACAUUUAACUUUUUUCUUGCCAACUAAAACAUCUACUACAUGUUUCUACAUGAUGAUGCAUCGACAUUGGCAUCACAAGAAUUUGAACUAGUUCCGUUUCUAGAUGUUUUAACUCUUUCGCAUGGCUUGAACUGCACCCAACAAAACUAAGAAAAAAACUUUAUAAAAACACAGUAGAAGCAAAGUGAAGAAAAAAUAAGAGCUGAUGUUGCGGCUGGAGAAGAAAUGAUAUGAAAAGCAAAGGAACGAAAUGAAAGCUUAGCAUUUUGUAGAAACGAUAUGCAGGCUGGAGAAGAUGCAGGACACAACGACCACCGUGCAGAGCAUAGAUCACAAAACAAUGACGAUUGGAGAAGAUGCAACAUAGUGGUCGAUCAGGUGUCUAUCUGACAAUGCUGCUUUAUGUCUAUCCAUGGACAAGUUUCAACCUCAUUCAUCCGCCCGACAGUUUCUAUUGAAAAUUAAAAAUCUAAACUUACGACAGAAGGAGGACACCAGAAGCAAACAUUUGAAGGCAUGGUACUAAUUCAUUCAGGCAUAGCUAUAUCAACUAACAAGCAUACUGUUUAAGAUAUGAUCAUGCCCAGAUAGGAACAGGGUGGGUGGUAUGUGGGAACAUACAAUAGAAAAAGAGGAUGAUUCGUGCUUUCUAGUCCUAGUGUGGGUGAGGGAGAUACAGAGAAAGGGAGGCAGUGUUGUUUUCUACACACAUGAAGAUUGUCUUAUUUUUAGAGAGUAAAACGAGUAUUUGG